rnacentral:tRNA from 1 species
ACCUGGCUGGCUCAGCUGGUAGAGCAUGGGACUCUUGAUCUCAGGGUCAUGAGUUCAAGCCCCACAUUGGGUG